rnacentral:rRNA from 1 species
UACGUAGGUGGCAAGCGAUACUCGGAAUCACUAGGCGUAAAGCGUGCGCAGGCGGUUUUUUAAGCCGGAUGUGAAAUCCCCGGGCUUAACCUGGGAAUUGCAUUCGGGACUGCAAGGCUGGAGUGCGGCAGAGGAGACUGGAAUUCCUGGUGUAGCAGUGAAAUGCGUAGAUAUCAGGAGGAAUACCGAUGGCGAAGGCAGGUCUCUGGGCUGACACUGACGCUCAUGCACGAAAGCGUGGGGAGCAAACAGG